rnacentral:rRNA from 1 species
CUUCGGCCCGAGUUGUAAUUUGCAGAGGAAGUAUUUGGCGCGGUGCCUUCCGAGUUCCCUGGAAUGGGACGCCAUAGAGGGUGAGAGCCCCGUCUGGUUGGACACCAAGCCUGUGUAAUACUCCUUCGACGAGUCGAGUAGUUUGGGAAUGCUGCUCUAAAUGGGAGGUAAAUCUCUUCUAAAGCUAAAUACCGGCCAGAGACCGAUAGCGCACAAGUAGAGUGAUCGAAAGAUGAAAAGCACCUUGAAAAGGGGGUUAAACAGUACGUGAAAUUGUUGAAAGGGAAGCGUUUAUGACCAGACUUGUGCCGUGUGGCUCAUCCGGGGUUCUCCCCGGUGCACUCCACACGGUUCAGGCCAACAUCGGUUCUCGUUGGGGGAUAAGAACAGUAGGAACGUGGCCCUCUUCGGAGGGUGUUAUAGCCUAUUGUACGAUACCUUGAUGGGGACCGAGGACCGCGCUUCGGCUAGGAUGUUGGCGUAAUGGUCAUUAGCGACCCGUCUU